rnacentral:rRNA from 1 species
UGUGCCCAGCAGCCGCCGUAUCAGAGGGUGCGAGCGUUAAUCGGAUUUACUGGGCGUAAAGCGUGCGUAGGCGGCUUAUUAAGUCGGAUGUGAAAUCCCCGAGCUUAACUUGGGAAUUGCAUUCGAUACUGGUGAGCUAGAGUAUGGGAGAGGAUGGUAGAAUUCCCAGGUGUAGCGGUGAAAUGCGUAGAGAUCUGGAGGAAUACCGAUGGCGAAGGCAGCCAUCUGGCCUAAUACUGACGCUGAGGUACGAAAGCAUGGGGAGCAAACAGGAUUAGAUACCCUGGUAGUCCAUGCCGUAAACGAUGUCUACUAGCCGUUGGGGCCUUUGAGGCUUUAGUGGCGCAGCUAACGCGAUAAGUAGACCGCCUGGGGAGUACGGUCGCAAGACUAAAACUCAAAUGAAUUGACGGGGGCCCGCACAAGCGGUGGAGCAUGUGGUUUAAUUCGAUGCAACGCGAAGAACCUUACCUGGCCUUGACAUACUAGAAACUUUCCAGAGAUGGAUUGGUGCCUUCGGGAAUCUAGAUACAGGUGCUGCAUGGCUGUCGUCAGCUCGUGUCGUGAGAUGUUGGGUUAAGUCCCGCAACGAGCGCAACCCUUUUCCUUACUUGCCAGCAUUUCGGAUGGGAACUUUAAGGAUACUGCCAGUGACAAACUGGAGGAAGGCGGGGACGACGUCAAGUCAUCAUGGCCCUUACGGCCAGGGCUACACACGUGCUACAAUGGUCGGUACAAAGGGUUGCUACACAGCGAUGUGAUGCUAAUCUCAAAAAGCCGAUUAGUCCGGAAGGAGUCUGCAACUCGACUCCAUGAAGUCGGAAUCGGUAGUAAUCAAGGAUCAGAAAGCCGCGGUGAAUACUUUCCCAGGCUUUAUACACA